rnacentral:rRNA from 1 species
AGGGCGCAUGGCGGAUGCCUUGGCUCUCGGAGGCGAUGAAGGACGUGAUAAGCUGCGAUAAGCUUUGGGGAGGUGCAAAUGACCUUUGAUCCAGAGAUUUCCGAAUGGGACAACCCAAUAUCUUGAAGAGGUAUUAUCUUACUAUGUAAGAGGCUAACGCAGGGAACUGAAACAUCUUAGUACCUGCAGGAAAAGAAAAUAAACAAUGAUUCCCCCAGUAGUGGCGAGCGAACGGGGAACAGCCCAAACCAUCCAUGUUACGGCAUGGGUGGGGUUGUAGGACUACGCCGUUGCAUGAAGACAUCAGAGAAGAACUUUCUGGAAAGAAAGACCAUAGAGCAUGACAGUUGCGUAUUCGAAUGUUGUCGAAGCAUAGUAGUAUCCUGAGUAGCGCGGAGCACGAGGAAUUCUGCGUGAAUCUGCCGGGACCAUCCGGUAAGGCUAAAUACUCCCGAGAGACCGAUAGCGAACCAGUACCGUGAGGGAAAGGUGAAAAGCACUUCGAACAGAAGAGUGAAAUAGUUCCUGAAACCGUGCGCCUACAAGCGGUCGGAGCUCGUUAAUGAGUGACGGCGUGCCUUUUGCAUAAUGAACCUACGAGUUGCCUUUGCCGGCAAGGUUAAGUGUGACGACACACGUAUCCGAAGCGAAAGCGAGUCUGAAUAGGGCGUAUAGUCGGCAGUGGCAGACGCGAAACCAAGUGAUCUACCCUUGGCCAGGUUGAAGGCUGGGUAACACCAGCUGGAGGACCGCACCAAUAAGCGUUGAAAAGCUUCUGGAUGAGCUGAGGGUAGGGGUGAAAGGCUAAUCAAACUUGGAGAUAGCUCGUACUCCCCGAAAUGCAUUUAGGUGCAGCCUUGCGGGUUACUGAUGUGAGGUAGAGCGACUGAUAAGAUGCGAGGGCUUCACCGCCUAUCAAGUCUUGACAAACUCCGAAUGCGCAUCAGUUCUACCGCAGGAGUGAGGGCAUGGGUGCUAAGGUCCGUGCCCGAGAGGAGAAGAAUCCGGACCACCUGCUAAGGUCCCGAAAUGACAGCUAAGUUAAACUAACGAAGUCUGACUGCUAAGACAGCUAGGAUGUUGGCUUGGAAGCAGCCAUUCAUUUAAAGAGUGCGUAACAGCUCACUAGUCGAGGAGUCGGGCGUGGAUAAUAAUCGGGUAUUAAGUUGUCUACCGAAGCAGUGGGAUCAUUUAUAUGAUCGGUAGGGGAGCAUUCCAGUCAGCGUCGAAGGCGUACCGUGAGGUAUUCUGGAGCGUCUGGAAAAGCAAAUGUAGGUAUAAGUAACGAUAAAGGGGGCGGGAAACCCCCUCGCCGAAAGACUAAGGUUUCCUGAUCAACGCUAAUCGGAUCAGGGUCAGUCGGGUCCUAAGGCUCAGCCGAACGGCGAUGCCGAUGGCAGAAACGGUUAAUAUUCCGUUACUACCUUCAGGAGUGACGUGGAGACGCAGUAGUGACAGUGCCGCCAUCUGACGGAAUAGAUGGUUGAAGGGUGUAGGAGUCGAUCAUGGCAGGCAAAUCCACCAUGAGAUCCGAACCUGACAGUAUGCCGCGUCCUUCGGGACAAGGCAAUAGUGCGCGUAAGCAUGCUGCCGAGAAAAUCCGCUAAACUUAAUCCUGCAGGUACCCGUACCGCAAACGGACACACGUAGUCGGGAUGAAUAUUCUAAGGCGCUUGAGUGAUUCACGGUUAAGGAACUAGGCAAACUGACCCUGUAACUUCGGGAUAAAGGGUCCCUACCCUUUUAUGGGAGGGCGCAGAGAAUCGGUCCAGGCAACUGUUUAACAAAAACACAGGGCUGUGCCAAAUCGAAAGAUCCAGUAUACAGCCUGACACCUGCCCGGUGCUGGAAGGUUAAGAGGAGAUGUCAUCGAUAAGAGAAGCGUUGAAUUGAAGCCCCAGUAAACGGCGGCCGUAACUAUAACGGUCCUAAGGUAGCGAAAUUCCUUGUCGGGUAAGUUCCGACCUGCACGAAUGGUGUAAUGAUCUGGACGCUGUCUCAACCGUGAGCUCAGUGAAAUUGUAGUAUCGGUGAAGAUGCCGAUUACCCGCGAUGGGACGAAAAGACCCCGUGAACCUUUACUAUAGCUUAACAUUGAAUUUGGGUAAUUGAUGUGUAG